rnacentral:rRNA from 1 species
UACGGAGGGUGCGAGCGUUGUCCGGAAUCACUGGGCGUAAAGGGCGCGUAGGCGGCCUGGUAAGUAGGGGGUGAAAUCCUGCGGCUUAACCGCAGGGCUGCCUUCUAAACUGUCAGGCUAGAGCACAGUAGAGGCAGGUGGAAUUCCCGGUGUAGCGGUGGAAUGCGUAGAGAUCGGGAAGAACAUCAGUGGCGAAGGCGGCCUGCUGGGCUGUUGCUGACGCUGAGGCGCGACAGCGUGGGGAGCAAACAGG